AAGGGCCAUCGCUCAACGGAUAAAAGCUACCCCGGGGAUAACAGGCUUAUCUCCCCCAAGAGUUCACAUCGACGGGGAGGUUUGGCACCUCGAUGUCGGCUCAUCGCAUCCUGGGGCUGUAGUCGGUCCCAAGGGUUGGGCUGUUCGCCCAUUAAAGCGGUACGCGAGCUGGGUUCAGAACGUCGUGAGACAGUUCGGUCCCUAUCCGUCGUGGGCGUAGGAAAUUUGAGAGGAGCUGUCCUUAGUACGAGAGGACCGGGAUGGACAUACCUCUGGUGUACCAGUUGUCGUGCCAACGGCAUAGCUGGGUAGCUAUGUGUGGACGGGAUAAGUGCUGAAAGCAUCUAAGCAUGAAGCCCCCCUCAAGAUGAGAUUUCCCAACUUCGGUUAUAAGAUCCCUCAAAGAUGAUGAGGUUAAUAGGUUCGAGGUGGAAGCAUGGUGACAUGUGGA
rnacentral:rRNA from 1 species